rnacentral:rRNA from 1 species
UACGGAGGGAGCAAGCGUUACUCGGAAUUAUUGGGCGUAAAGGGCGCGUAGGCGAUUUGAAAAGUCUUGUGUGAAAGCCCCGAGCUUAACUCGGGAAGUGCACAAGAAACUGUUGAAUUUGAGUUCCGGAGAGGAAGGCAGAAUUCCCGGUGUAGCGGUGAAAUGCGUAGAUAUCGGGAGGAAUACCAGUGGCGAAGGCGGCCUUCUGGACGGAUACUGAUGCUGAGGCGCGAAAGCCAGGGGAGCAAACGGG